rnacentral:rRNA from 1 species
GGUGGGGAUGACGUCAAAUCAUCAUGCCCCUUACUGACCUGGGCUACACACGUGCUACAAUGGUUGGUACAACGAGUUGCGAGUCGGUGACGGCGAGCUAAUCUCUUAAAGCCAAUCUCAGUUCGGAUUGUAGGCUGCAACUCGCCUACAUGAAGUCGGAAUCGCUAGUAAUCGCGGAUCAGCACGCCGCGGUGAAUACGUUCCCGGGCCUU